rnacentral:lncRNA from 10 species
UGCACCAAGGGUGGAGGUUGUGAAUAAGGCAAAGGAACACAGCUCCCCGCCCCGUUCACCCUGUACACAGCCCUGUACACCCUGUUCCCGGGAACAGCAGAGGUAGGAAAGUCACAAAUUGUACAUCCACCCCAAUCUUGCAACAAGAGUGUAUUAAAAGCCAUUUUUCAAGGCUGAGUAAGAGUUUGUGACCUGAUAGACGAUGGCUGGCAAACUCAUUUCAUCAUAAAUAUCACAGCAGAUAAUAUACUUCAAUACAAGUGAUGCAUCUGCCUAUGCCAGGAUCCUCAGAAAUUGCCAGGAGGCAGAGGGGCUAUGCAGCCAGACACAGAGCAAAGUUCAUUCCACGGAAACGACAGCAAGGACUCCUCCGCAGCCACUGCUGGACUCCAGAAUGUGAUGACCACCAUGAGAACUCCACCAGCUGUGAUGCUGAGCCUACCUCUGCUGCCCUUGGACACUCACUCCCAAAUAAAGUUCAGAUUGCUCUCUCUGAUUAUCUAACUUGUUAAGUCCACAUCAUUUUCCCCACCCUAG